GAUGAAGAACGCAGCGAAAUGCGAUAAGUAGUGUGAAUUGCAGAAUUCAGUGAAUCAUCGAAUCUUUGAACGCACAUUGCGCCUCCUGGCAUUCCGGGAGGCAUGCCUGUUCGAGCGUCAUCAAACCCCAUCGUGCAAAUGAAUUAUUUUUUUUGCGCGGAAGUGACGAUUGAGCGAGAAUAACAAAUCCUCUCGCACCUCGUCGAAAUGAUUGCGGGCGGAAUUUGGGAUCGGGUUCCUCGGCGUAGUGUAUCAAUGCUUAUUUAUGCAACUUGCCGCGGAGUUGAGCCUGACCCACGCGUUCUCGCCGUACAAACACCUCAUUACUUUACAAGUUUUUGACCUCGGAUCAGGUAGGGAUACCCGCUGAACUUAAGCAUAUCAAUAAGCGGAGGA
rnacentral:misc_RNA from 1 species